AGCGAACGCUGGCGGCAGGCUUAACACAUGCAAGUCGAGCGGGCGUAGCAAUACGUCAGCGGCAGACGGGUGAGUAACGCGCGGGAACGUACCUUUUGGUUCGGAACAACACAGGGAAACUUGUGCUAAUACUGGAUAAGCCCUUACGGGGAAAGAUUUAUCGCCGAAAGAUCGGCCCGCGUCUGAUUAGCUAGUUGGUGAGGUAACGGCUCACCAAGGCGACGAUCAGUAGCUGGUCUGAGAGGAUGAUCAGCCACAUUGGGACUGAGACACGACCCAAAAUCCGACGGGAGGGAGCAGUGGGGAAUAUUGGACAAUGGGCGCAAGCCUGAUCCAGCCAUGCCGCGUGAGUGAUGAAGGCCCUAGGGUUGUAAAGCUCUUUUGUGCGGAAAGAUAAUGACGGUACCGCAAGAAUAAGCCCCGGCUAACUUCGUGCCAGCCGCCGCGGUAA
rnacentral:rRNA from 1 species